AACUGGCCUUCCAAAUGACAGCACCCACACGGAAAAAGCUCUUGCUUCUCGGAAAUAUCUAUCUUAUGCUUCUAGCAAAAUAUAAGGAUACUUCUGAAGUGCAUAAUAGUGAAUUGAAGUUUUCAUCACUUUAUAUUUCAUUUAACAUAAGAAAAAGUGAUCGUGAGUUAGUUAAAACGAUUUAAACACACGGACUUUCUCGUUUUGAAGUUAUCAAUCCAAACCGGAAAUGCAUCAGCACUUAGGUAUUUUUUCUGUGUCCGACUUAUUUGUGGUGGUGACUAUCCCUUUCAAGCGGCCAAAUUCUGGACUUCAAACUCCAUAUAAGGAUUGUGUCACUAGUGACCAGACGGCCGGGAGUCAGAGAAACAGUCCACUUGUUGUCCACGUCUCAUCGGGUUCCUGCGUGGUUCGUAACCGUUCCCCCCAAGCUCUUCUUGGAAGCCGGGCGACACGCCCCAAUAGGAGACCCCUUUUCAGGACACACCCCCAGUUAUGAAAGGUAUUGCGUAUGCGCUCUUCCAUAUAAGGAGCUGUUUUGCCUCGUGACCCGGCCUGCAUGAAGUGUGUGUACGUGGGUUGGGAGGACAAUUACUCUGUGACGCAGUUCAGCAGGCGGGCUGUGUUUACGUGUCUUUUGACUACGUCCCUACUGAGAAACUGGUAAACAACUGAGUUUGGCUGAAAAACAAAACAUCUGCUUGCCCUUGAGGAAAAAAUAGAGCAAGUGACCUGUGAGGAGAUAAGAGUUUUGGCAUGUUGCCUCUGAGAAGCCAGAAGGAUAUCUAGGGCAAAUUAAGUGUCUUUUUCGUGUGUGUUGCACAACAAUGGUCCAUAGCAUUGAUCUGUUAUUACAGGUAGUAAAGAAUGAAUAACAAACAAGUGUGAUCCAGUCACAUAUUUCUGGGAUCCAGCUAUACAUGUUGUCAGUGUGAAAUAUUUUCCAACAUGUCAUGAACAUGUAAACAUGGGAAGGGGGAAAGGUCAACGUACUGUAGUACAAUCUGUGGGAACCUGGUGUCAAGGACACGUUUGUUUGGGAGAAGGUCUUCUUUUACUGAUUUGAAAUGUCAUUCUUUACAAUUAUUCUUCAGCAUCACAGAGAAAAUUUAAGUUCCUUUUUUUGUUUACAGAUAAUAUCUGUACCUUGAAAAAGUUCUUAGUCGGGAAAAGACUAAAAGACCUCUGACAAAUAAUGUGAUUGAAUUUCUGUUCUCCACAGAAUGUUGACAAAAUGUUGACAAGAAAAACAGGGAAUAACUGGCAGUACAAAGGCUGGGGUAGAAAAUAUUGUUCACGUUGUUGGCAUUAGUGUAUUUUUGUUUGUGCUAGGGUCCCUGUACCAGUGUGUGUUGUGUCUAUACAAGUAGAUGACAAUGUGAGUUGUUUAUGAAAAAAAAAAUUGUUUUUAUUGUCAUGAUGAUGUAAUUAACUGAUGCCAGAAUUUCUCUAUGUAACCUGAUUUGUUUUUCUUAUCCUACAAGUGCCAAAACAAAUUUGGAUGAAAAUAUUUUUUUGUACACUAUCAAUUUGAAUAUUAAACUUCCAAACUGUUGACAGAUGCCAAAAUAUUAAUGUACAUGUAUGAAAUCCUAUGCAUGAAGAAUUACACAUAUCACAUUUACAGAUAUGGUCAGAAGCCAUGGAAAUGGCACAGAGAUUUCUCUUUGAUAUGUUUACUGAUUGUGUACACAUGUAACCUAAGUCAAUCUUUAAUUGGGUUAAGCUAACAACAUGCAAUAGCUUGGUUGCUGUUCCUUUCCAGACAACGUGCUUGCAAUUUUUGAUUCUCAAUCAAUACCAAGAGACACUAUUAUUCAGUGACCUACUUCCAGAGGGAAGGUCGCUAGCCCUAAGUCCAGUGAUGAGGAAGUAAUACUAGUGAAGGAAUAGAAGCUUUUACUGUUUCCUCCUUAUAAACUGUAUAAUCACCAGGAGAUUAGGUCCAUUAACGUAAAUGUGGACUGGUAGUAAUGAUCCAUUAAAGAAGUCGUUUACGUGAAAAAGAUUUGUUGGAAGAGUGAAAUUUGAUUGACAAGAAAAUUAUCAGGUAAACGGUAUCACAUGCCAGAGUCCUGAAAAAUUUCUUGCUUUUUGUGAAUACCCUCAUAUCAUUUGAAACAAUAUAACAUGAAUAGUUGAAUUAUAUCACAAACUCAGACAUGGUAUAAUUGUUAAUGCUGAUAAUGUAGGCUGAGGCUCAGAGUCAGGGAAGACAGUUCAAGUUGAUAUUUACAUGGUUGUCAAUCUUUUCAUGCACCAAAUUCUCAAAGUGGCAGUGCAUUUAGGAAGACAUGGCCAGCACAUUUGACCUUCACACAAGCCCAUAACAGAGAGGACAUAAAACAGUCAUGCAAAGGUCAAGUUGCUGUCAUCCUGAGUUGCAGUGAGUUCACAUAUCCUUCAAGAUCUACAUGAUAAGAAUUUUGGAAGAUAUUUUGAUGACUGCUUUUCAGUUCACUCAUCUCUUGCCUGCUAUGUAUUAAUUUUUUUUCAAAUCAAAGCCAAAAGCCAACUAAACCUAGAAAAGCUACACCUACUGAUGGCCUUUGAUUUAUGUUUCCUUUUCACCAUGGUUAAUGACUAGAGACAGGUUUUUAAUCUUUGCAAUCCAAUGACAGAUUGUUUGACACACAAAAAAAAAGACAUGCCAGGGUCAACAGGUUUUUGCAAGGGUUGGUGGAGAACCAUAGAACACAACAUGUUUUUCUCCAGGCCUAAGCCCAGUCAAUGACCUGACAUUAAAAGUAGUUACAUCAGCCCUACAAAAAACAAGCAUUAUGUCACUUCAGGCCAGUGACCCUGUUUACCAUGCUGUAAGCUCAUGUGACAUGCCAUACUAUCUGUGACACCUUUAUAGUUACUACUGAUCAGUAUGGCUCAGCAACGUGUUAACGCUUGUGUAUUACUUUGAAUGACUGGUUUGUUUGUUUGUUUGUCACUAUAACAUUUGUGCUAAUGUUCGAUUAUAAAUACUAGUAAAUUACAGGUACAGUUUUAAAACUAGUCCAUACCUAAAACCCCUGCUGACACUUAAAGGUUGUUGACUCCUUGUUUUUUUUGGGUGAAGUUGUGAGAAGAGCUUGCAUGAGGACACGUGUGUGCAGCACAUCUCCGCAUGUGCUUGUGCAGAUAACGCCCCUCAACACCAGAAUGUCAACGGUGCUCAGGCUGAUAGCAGUGUUUACCAGGUCAGGCUAUGUUCCCUUCACCUGCUGGGGCACGUGUGGAGGCUCCACUCGACCCACAGGUCAGUGUACUACAUUGGAUACAAAGGAUCACAUGUAAUGAACAUCAUCUCGUGAGCACUGACAGAUGAGAGCAUAAUUGUGACUCCUGGGAUGCUCAACAACUCCGUCAGUUUCCACAGUGCUGUAAGUUUGACCAAUGAUGGAACCCCCUUGGUUAGAUCUCCUUACUUCUCAAAAGGGGUGACAUCUGUGAGGUCAAGGCCAUUUGGAGAACUUAGUGAAGGAACCACAAAACCAGAAACAUUGCAAGAGAAGGACAGCACAG